AGAGUUUGAUCCUGGCUCAGGAUGAACGCUAGCUACAGGCUUAACACAUGCAAGUCGAGGGGCAGCAUGAACUUAGCUUGCUAAGUUUGAUGGCGACCGGCGCACGGGUGAGUAACACGUAUCCAACCUGCCGAUGACUCGGGGAUAGCCUUUCGAAAGAAAGAUUAAUACCCGAUGGCAUAGUUCUUCCGCAUGGUGGAACUAUUAAAGAAUUUCGGUCAUCGAUGGGGAUGCGUUCCAUUAGGUUGUUGGCGGGGUAACGGCCCACCAAGCCUUCGAUGGAUAGGGGUUCUGAGAGGAAGGUCCCCCACAUUGGAACUGAGACACGGUCCAAACUCCUACGGGAGGCAGCAGUGAGGAAUAUUGGUCAAUGGACGAGAGUCUGAACCAGCCAAGUCGCGUGAGGGAAGACGGCCCUACGGGUUGUAAACCUCUUUUGUCGGAGAGUAAAGUGCGCUACGCGUAGCGUAUUGCAAGUAUCCGAAGAAAAAGCAUCGGCUAACUCCGUGCCAGCAGCCGCGGUAAUACGGAGGAUGCAAGCGUUAUCCGGAUUUAUUGGGUUUAAAGGGUGCGUAGGCGGCACGCCAAGUCAGCGGUGAAAUUUCCGGGCUCAACCCGGAAUGUGCCGUUGAAACUGGCGAGCUAGAGUACACAAGAGGCAGGCGGAAUGCGUGGUGUAGCGGUGAAAUGCAUAGAUAUCACGCAGAACCCCGAUUGCGAAGGCAGCCUGCUAGGGUGAAACAGACGCUGAGGCACGAAAGCGUGGGUAUCGAACAGGAUUAGAUACCCUGGUAGUCCACGCAGUAAACGAUGAAUACUAACUGUUUGCGAUACAAUGUAAGCGGUACAGCGAAAGCGUUAAGUAUUCCACCUGGGGAGUACGCCGGCAACGGUGAAACUCAAAGGAAUUGACGGGGGCCCGCACAAGCGGAGGAACAUGUGGUUUAA
rnacentral:rRNA from 1 species